ensembl:processed_transcript Gm26871 predicted gene, 26871
GCGGCAGCAGUGACAGCGGUAGCAGAGGCAGAGGCAGCGGCAGCUUGGCCCUCUGACUCUCUUCGGUGACGGGUAUUCUUGGGUGGAUAAUACGGAUUACGUUGUUAUUGCUUAAGAAUACGCGUAGUCGAGGAGAGUACCAGCGGCAGGCGGGCAGCGGCCGCCCCUCCCAGCCCACCAGCUGGCCACUAAAAGCUCCCGGUUGCCAAGAAGUGUGAGCGAGUAAUUUUGCUGGAUGUCCACGUAUUUCAGUUGAGCCAUUUGAAGACAUUAGGAGUGGGGUUAUUGAAGCCCUCCCUUGCUCUAGGACAAUGCAAGCCUGCCUCUGUGUUCACCACAGGUAUGUGUUCAUGAGUUCUUCCUUAAUAGAUUACCCAGAUAUCACAGAAUUGCGACACUUUGUUUAGUAUAUGGUCAUGGUGAAUAGUACCUAUCUGUAUUUUUAUUAUUUUAACAAAAAUUAAAAUUCUCAGCCUAUCCUAUGUUAUGUAAAGCAAGUAUCCACACCCAAUUGUCUCUUCUUCUAUGAAAAAAACAAAACAAAAGAAAAAAACCCAAAAAAACCAAAAACUUGUCACUUCUUUCAGAAAAUCUACUUCCAGUUGAUUAAAGUUUGCUCCACCUCCAUCAAAUAUACUUUUUUCCAGAUUAUUAAGUUUUUAAAACAUUUAUUUUUUUACAUCCUAAUUCUGUCCCCCC